rnacentral:lncRNA from 1 species
AUAAAGUCUUAAAAAACACUAUAUGAAACAGGUACAGAAAGUCAUAUAUAACUGGCUGAGAUAGGAAGAUACAUGACCAAUAAAGUAGUUCUUAUUUUAAAUAUGAGACGAAUUAAAUAAACUCA